AACGAACGCUGGCGGCAGGCUUAGCACAUGCAAGUCGAACGCAUCCUUCGGGGUGAGUGGCAGACGGGUGAGUAACGCGUGGGAACGUGCCCUUCAGUUCGGGAUAACCCAGGGAAACUUGGGCUAAUACCGGAUAAGUGCGAGAGCAGAAAGAUUUAUCGCUGAAGGAUCGGCCCGCGUUUGAUUAGCUAGUUGGUGGGGUAAUGGCCCACCAAGGCGACGAUCAGUAGCUGGUCUGAGAGGAUGAUCAGCCACAUUGGGACUGAGACACGGCCCAAACUCCUACGGGAGGGAGCAGUGGGAAAUAUUGGACAAUGGGCGCAAGCCUGAUCCAGCCAUGCCGCGUGCGUGAUGAAGGCCUUAGGGUUGUAAAGCUCUUUCGUCCGGGACGAUAAUGACGGUACCGGAAGAAGAAACCCCGGCUAACUUCGUGCCAGCAGCCGCGGUAA
rnacentral:rRNA from 1 species